rnacentral:lncRNA from 1 species
AAAGGACGGACGCUGUCAAACCUGGCAGAGUAGAGGUCGUGAGUUCGAAACAUGGGGCUCUUGGAAGGCAAGGAUUUAUUCUUGGAAGGCAGGGGAACAUUUGGAAGGCAAGGAUUUAUUCUUGGAAAGCAACCCCCCCCCCCCAAAUUGAAAACAAUAAAAAAACACUCAGUCUUACACCAACACUAGUAAUACUAAGUCCUAGUUAUCUCCUGCCCCCUAGGGCACUUCUCCACUGGCAAAGCACGGACGCUGUCAAACCUGACAGAGCAGAGGUCGUGAGUUCGAAACAUAGGGCUCUUGGAAGGCAAGGAUUUAUUCUUGGAAGGCAGGGGAACAUUUGGAAGGCAAGGAUUUAUUCUUGGAAGGCAAGUGGGAACUUGGAAGGCAAGAAUUAUUCUUGGAAGGCAAGGUGCAACUUGGAUUGGCUUGCUUGACACUUUGUCAGACCAGGUGGGGAGCGCUCGGACCCUGGCCAGUCGGAGGCACAUCCUGCGAUUAAUCGGACUGUGUGAAGAGGGGCCGGAUCACAGACCCAAGGAUUAGUCAAGAAUUGGACACCUUGUAAAAAAAAAAAAAAG